rnacentral:rRNA from 1 species
UACGUAGGGUGCAAGCGUUGUCCGGAAUUAUUGGGCGUAAAGAGCUCGUAGGCGGUCUGUCGCGUCGGAUGUGAAAACCCAGGGCUCAACCCUGGGCCUGCAUUCGAUACGGGCAGACUAGAGUUCGGUAGGGGAGACUGGAAUUCCUGGUGGAGCGGUGAAAUGCGUAGAGAUUGGAAAGAACACCGAUGGCGAAGGCACUUUACUGGGCUAUUACUAACACUCAGAGACGAAAGCUAGGGUAGCAAAUGGG